rnacentral:tRNA from 1 species
GAUCGCGUAGCUCAGUUGGCAGAGCAUUGGGCUAGCUAGUAUUCCAAAGGUCGUAGGUUCGAUUCCCACCGUGGUCA